AACUUGCUGCAAUGUGUCUCUUGGCUCUCGCGUCGAUGAAGAACGCAGCGAAAUGCGAUAAGUAAUGUGAAUUGCAGAAUUCAGUGAAUCAUCGAAUCUUUGAACGCACCUUGCACCCUUUGGCAUUCCGAAGGGUAUGCUCGUUUGAGUGUCAUUGUACUCUCACACUCCCGAUGCUUUUGGAUUGGGAGUGGUGGACUUGGGUGUUGCUGCUUUACUGUGGCUCACCUCAAAUGGAGUAGUGCAACUCUUGGUUGGACAUAGUACGGCGUGAUAAGUGUCUUCGCCGGCGCCUCAUUAGAGGGUGGCCGAUCGGGAGCUCUGUGCUUCAAACCGUCUUCGGACAACAUCUGACAACUUGACCUCAAAUCGAGUAGGACUACCCGCUGAACUUAAGCAUAUCAAUAAGCGGAGGCU
rnacentral:misc_RNA from 1 species